rnacentral:sRNA from 1 species
AUUGAUAAUAUUGAGACAAAGCAUGAGAAGAUUAAAGAUGGAAACAGGAGAGAGAAAUGAGAACAGAUUGGAAAGCCCAUCCGAAUGAUAAGGAUGCUUCACGUUAAAUAGUCUUUCAUGGAAGCAGAAUUAUAUUUCGUCUAGUCUUGAAUUUGGUAUUUCCUUAAUUAUGUAAAGACUCAUUGCCUCCACCAAACCUAAUCCAAUCAACCUUCACUUUUUCCCCAAAACUUCAACCCAUCAUGUUUCAUAAGCAAACUCUUAAGGAAAAACAGAGGAAAAACAAUCGGAAACAGGAAAUUGGACAAACACACACAAAAAAAAACAAAAACGAUUCAUGUUAUCAUUCUGUGUAUUCAAAGUGAACUUCGUGUUUCAUCUUACGAUACAUCUGCAUCAGUAAUCCAACUGAAUGGUGCCAACUCUGUUAAUGGGAAGACAAUGUUUUUUUUACCUUACAUCUCUAAUAGUUAACUCUUCAUUUAUCAUUCCUGACAAAUCAUCAAUUCCCUCUCAUCGACAUCAACUUUCAUCAGUUUCUGUUUUUUAAUCCUCCAAAUGUCACUCGUUUUGGUCAAAUCUUAGCCGCUUGUAGAGAAACAAAAUUUAGAGACAAUUUCAUCUAUCGUUUGCGCCAAGUUUACCUCUCAAACUAUCAACAUUUUGCUUGGCUAAAUGUGUCUUCAAAAGGUUAACAAGAUAAAGAGUGAAAUUACAAGCCAACAAAAGAGUUAAAAACUCAUCUCAGUCUGGAUUGUUGUUAAAAUGUUGUGAACUUGAACCAGCAUUUGCAAUGGAAAGAGAAAGCUAAUUGAUAUUCAUUCCAGGAUUUCAUGUUAAACCUGAUUCUCGGAUUUACAGUGACAACUCAUCAAAAGUUGGAGUAAAACAAGAGACGGAACCAAGAAGGAAUUAAGAUGCAGAUAAUGUUGAAGCAAGAAAUGUUUGCAUUUUUCAAUCUAUUCAACCUAAAAUUCCAGAUAUUUACAUCACUUAUUGUUAUUACAAAUUGCCAUCUUCCUUUGUUGAAUCUUCAAUCUUCUUGUUCUAUCAUCGAGCCUUCAUGGUGCUUGCCUUUUCCUCCAACAAACCCGAGGAGAAAAGAGAGAAACAAAAAAAAGAUAAAAAGCAAAAGCAAGGAAAAACAACAAAAGAGGCGAAAAAAAACUAACAUCUGCCAGAGGAACAGUUGACUAUCAAAUAAAUUUGAUUAUAAGCCACUUUUACUUUCAUCUUCACGAUGAUGAUGUUACUCAGGUUUUACAGUCUCUACUCGCUACCAGUGUGUUAUAUGUGUUAACAGGAAAGGAUCCAGAAGAUCAAGAAGCCUACUCUUGAGAGGAAUCAUGAAAGCAAAAACAUUAUAUUGAACCAUCUCACAAACAUGAAAAAAAGUAACAUCAUCUACAGGAGAAAGAAACUGAGGAUGAAAAGGCAAGACUGACCAAGGGAAAUAAGAGAAAAUUGGUAACCAUAGAGAUAUCAUUUUCCAUUAUAACUUUCAUCAUCAUCAUCAUCAUCUUUAUCCCCAUUUUUACCUUUGCUUACGCAUCCUCUUUCACCCGUAUCCCUCUUCAUCUUCCCUUUCACCUUCCCUUCCUCUUCCCUACUUUUAUGAAGUUACCCUUAUUUGCCUGUGAAUCACGUCCAUGAACAAAAAAAAAGAUAAUUCAUGGACGUGAAUACCUUUUUACUCUUUUUUUUUGUCUGUCAUUCUUUGUCCUCUUUCCUCCUUCCAUCUCUUAUCUUUCCUUCAAUGAUGAUGCCAGUUAUCCUUACCUUUCUCUAGUUCAUAAAGAAGAUGGUGAAGGAUGAUGAGCAUGAAAAUAUCAUGAACACACUGAGCAAAUCACUUGAUCAUCAACCUUUUCCAGAUGAUAAAAGAGGUAGAAAUAUUUUCCCUGUAAAAAUGAGACAAAUCUAGGAAGAUGGCUAAAGAUUUGGUGAGAAACAGUAAAACCAUCCAAGAGAAAGAAUGAAAUGAUGAUGAUAUGAUGAUGAUAGGAGGAGGUGAAGGAAGAUGAAAGGCAAUAUCAAAUAUUAUAUCAAAUAUUAUAUCAAGUAUUAUAGUAAUAUAUAAAUAGAGUGGAUGAUCAAUGUUACUAAUUGAGCCUUUAAGGCAUCUUUAUGAAAAAUACAUUGAAACUGUAUCCAUCAUUGUGAUUGUAAAAUGAUUGUGUUGGCAAAGGAAAACAAAAGCAAAAUGGAAACACAACAAAAACUUGUUGAAUCAGUAUUGAUAUAAUUUUAUCCUUUGCCUUUAAUGAUAUUCAUUCAAUUGAUACUGUCAACCAUUCUCCCAAUCAUUUUACUAUUUACAUUUACUGUUUACUGGGUAAAAUGCAAGCAAAUCCAUUCACAAAGGAUAUCAUUUUACGACUUGAUUUCAUCCCUUUCUUUUCCAACCUCAUCAUCAUGCAACCAGAAAUCUGUUUCACUAAAUCUGAUGGGAAUCAUUGUCAUCACCCCUCUUCCUGGUGAUAAAAGCUCAAACUUGUUCAACUAUUAUCAAUAGUUAAACAUAUUUCAUUUGCACUUGCAAAGACAGCUUGAUCCUUAGCAAUUUCAAUUCAAGACACAUUUUUGUCUGAAUUGCGUGUUAAAGGAUCAACUUGAUAGUUACAUUUUUCACAAAAUUCAUUUCUAAUCAACAUUCUAUUAACCAUUUCAAUCCUUCCCAAUGUAUCAGCUUGAUCACAAUUUGGUUGAUUAAGAAGCCAAGUAUACUGUUAACAGUAUAUUGAAACAACACUAACCUCAACCCAUUAAUAUGAAUCUAGAUCUAGUCAGCAACUCUACGAUUGUAUGUAAAUACAGGUUAGUUUUAAUCAAGAUACAAGCUAACUCAAUUUAUCCAAUUUACAUCUAAUGAGUGUUUGCAUAAAAAGGUGGAAAUCACAGUCAAUAACACUUUAGUCCAUUUGGGUUGGCAUUUCCUAGUUGAACCUAAUUUUUAGGUAAAGUUAUCUGUUUUAAGAAGACUGUUUCAAGCCAAUUAUGCUUGUAUUAAUAAGCAUAAUAGACUUGGAGUUAUUUUGCAUUAAAUUGUUGAGACUUGACUCGCAAUUUCACUUACAGUUGAUCAAAUUAUGAUAAAUUUUUGUUCCAUUUUUACUGCAACAUUUGAAAGGACAUUUAUAGCCAUUCAAACUGAUGAAGACUUGAAAAUUUAACGACGACGUCCAACAAAAAGGUCAAUGUUCAGUUUUCAAGUUGCCAUGAAAUUUUCAACUCAUUUUCAGCAUCAUUGAAAGUUGCUAGUUUCAAAUUGCAAUUAACAACUUAAUCUUUUUACCUUUGCUAAAAUUGUACCAAUUUUUUCCUUCCUACUAAAGCUCAUUGUCUUCCUGUUCAAUUCAAGAGUAAUCAUUGUUAAUUUACCUGUUUGUAAUACAAUUUGAAUUGAAAUACAAUCAGGAACACAAAUUGAACCGAGUAAUCUUUACAUUGAGAAAGGUUGAACAAGCAAACAACAAUGUAAUUAACAUUAAAAAAUCAGUAUAUUUUGUUAAUUUGUGUGCUUGUGAGAUGCUAUUCUCAUAACAUGUAAUUAAACAUAAUUAGCAUCAAUUUUGUUGCAAGAAAAAAAUUGAUUAACAUCUUUGAUCAAUUGAAAGGCAAGAAACCCAAGAAAAGAGGAGGAUAAAAAUCAGCAAAUCUAGUAAUUAAGUUGAAAGGUUAUUUAAUAAUCUUGCCUUUUACUCUGAAUUUUGCUUUAAUUACAGCAUAAUCCAGAUUAAAUCAAUUAAACAAAAUAGCAUGAUUGAUUGAACACAUAACAAAAACAUUGGUUUGCAGUGAAACUUGAAUGUAAUUUGAUUUACAAAAUCAACUUCAAGUGAAACUUCAAAUUCAAAGGCCAUUCACAAAGGUGCUAAUCUCAUUGAUUAAGGUUAAUUUUUUUCUUCAAUCGACAUUUAUCAGCAUCAUUUUCAUUCUGAAAAUUACUUUUGAUUAACUCAUUACUAGAUUAUUGUCUCUAUUAUUACAUGUAUCAUCAUCAUUCUCAUCAUCAACAUCAUUCAGUUUUUACACCACGAUUCAGUUUCUCAGUUUAUCUCUUGGAUUUUCUUGUUUCUCUCAAAUGUCAACUCAACAUUUAACAUUAUAAAUGUCAAUAGGAAUGAUUUGUCAUCUUCAUCAUCUUCUUCUUCCUCUUCCUUUCAACCCAAAAAUUUAAACUCUAAAUCAAUUUUUAGUUUAAUUUUCCCUCUCUUCCCAUUUGAUUGGCAGCCAUUGGUUGCUAAGCCAACAAGCAGUUACAAUGAAAGUGAAUCAAUCCUUCGAUUAACCAUUAUUUAUAAUAAUAUCUUCAAUCAAUUGCUGGUGAAUCCUUAUUUUUUAUUUAACAGUUCUGUUCAGCAACAUCAAUAACAACCAACAUCAUCGUCUACAACAUCAUCAUCAUUACCAUCAACAACAACAUCAAUUUAAUCAUAGAUGAUACAAAAAUUGCCAGCAAAAUGAAACACAAGAAAGUGAAAAUUGAAGACACACCAAAAGAAUGGCAACUCAGAAUUGAACCGUUUCGAUGUUUUUCCUUUGUUUUUCCUUUACCAUUCCAACUCUUCUCAUCAUUUCCAUUCUUCGUACAUCAUCAUCAUCUUCAUCAUCCUCACUUCCCUUUCCUCAACCCUCUUUCCCUUCUUAAAUAAGCUUUCCAUUUUAUCGAUUAAUCGAUUUCGAUUGGUUUUGAGUGGAUUUUUGUCUUUUUAUCUUCUACACAAACUCACACAACUCAACAACAUCAGCAAACCUUGAGCAUCCUUUUCACUGCUUAUCCUUUUUCAUCCUCAUUUCUUCCUUCUUACAUCGUCAGAAAACAAAAAAAUAUCAAUUGUGUUUCUUCAAUUUUACUCCUUUUGUUUCUCCUUUUACCAAAAAACAACAACCAAGCCAAACAAACGUCUUAAGAAGAUAUUUAUCUCUUAAUUUAAUUCAUUCUAGUCCUUUUUUCCCCCCUCUCUUCACAUAAUAUUAUUACUUAUAUCUUAUUAUGAUUAUGAUUAUAUUUCGUCUUAUUAUUAUUAGUAUAUCAUUCUUUGAUCACUUUUUAUCCCAAUCCUUUUCAUCCAAUAACCAAAUGUUUGCUUUUUACUCAACUCAUCAUUUCAACUUUUUUUCCCAAAUGUUAUUGAUAUUUGAGUGCGUAACAACAACCAACAACACAAUGUAAUACCCAUUUUUUCCGUAUUUCAGUUAAUCAACAAUUAUCAAUUCCUCUUGUUUAUCAAUAAUUUUAAUUUAACAUUUUAUUUGUCUUGCUAUUAUGAUUAUUAUUCAUUCCUAAUUAUAUUAUGAUUAUUAUAUGUUUCAUUUGAAAGUGGAAAACAAAUUUAACCCAAAAAAAACACAAAUACAUAUGUUCGUAUUUAAAAACAAUUGGUAUUAUGAGUAUUAUUAUUAUUAUUAUUAUGAUUAUUAUUAUUGAGUAUUGAUCAGUUUGACGAUUAUCUUGAUUGGGGCCAAGACGAAGAUGCACAUUCUUAUGUUAUCCUUUCCUCUCUUCCUCCAUCUUCUGAACAUUUUCUCUCUAUCAUGAUGAACUUCAAUACAGGGUGUUAAGGAAACUCAUGUGAGGGAAAAAAUCAUUUCCCUUGCGCAUUAAACCCAUUUUCUGAUGUUAUGGUAAGCCGCUAUUCCUAAGCGCAUUUUGAUACUCUGCCUCACACGAACUUGACACCCUGUACAGUGAAGUACCAGUAAUUGCGACUAAAUUUAUAUAAGACCAUAGGUUGUUCAAUAUUUGAAUAAAUGUGAUCAUGUCUCGGCGUUUUUUUAACAUAAAAUUCAAAAAAUUAGAAACUCUUUCAAUUGUUGACCACAAAAUCUGGUCAAAAGAAGAUUUUGAACAAAACUAUUUAGAUUUGUUGAAAUUAAUUUUACUAAUUAGAAAACAUUUGCACGUAAAAUAGCUUCUCUGCUAUUUAAAGAGAGUCACAAUUACUGUACCUGACUGUAAUGAAAUAACACACAAAAUACUGGCUCAAAAGGCGUACUGUUAACCAAAAGUCAACCCAACAGUUAACAGUGAAACCAGAAAAUUUGAAAAUGUAAAAGAAACGCCAAAGCAAACCCAAAAAAAGAUCAAACGGUUUACCAGAAAAGGCAAAAUCUGGUAAACAUCUUUUCGGCUUUUAACCCAAUACAUCUUGACAGAUGACAACCAAUGUUAUAAAGACGAUAAUUAUGGUGAUGAUGAUUUGAUUGAAAUUAUUAUUAAUCUAGAGAAUCUAACACACAUGAAUUGGUAAAUGGAUGAAGAUGAAGAGGAAUAAUGAAGGAGAUAAAAAAAAGUGAAUUUUAUUCUUCUUUUUACCAGAAAACUUUUGUUUCCUUUCAAAAGGCAAAAUUAACAUUUCAACCCUUUCUUUUCGUCUUCAGUCUUCAGUUUUUUUUUCUUCUUCUACUUCAACAUUUCAUCUACAUUGUCAUUUUAAUGGUUAAUACAAUUAGGUUGGCUUCUUCCUAAUUCUUAUUAGACACACACACACAAAAAAACGAGAAAACAUUUUUCAACCCAAAAAAAUUAACAUUAUACUUAAAAAACGUAAUUUAAUUAUAUUAUGAUUAUUAUUAUUCACUUUUCUUUUGCUAAGCCAAUUUGCUUGAUUACUUUAUAUAUAAAAGCACACAAAACCUGCAAAGCAAGCAAAAAGGAUGCCAACAGCUUGACUAACUUGUUAACAGCGUUUACAAUUUACUUGGGAUUUUACUUGCUACUUCGUCUUAUUAUUAUCAUUACGUAUUAUUAUCAUUCCUGAUCAUUAUUCUGAUUAUCAUUCUUAUGGUUCUAUUAUUCCUUAAGCGAAACUCAAUAUUUUAAAAUAUUUACUAAAUUUUUUGCUUGUGUGUGACGUUUUGACUUGAUUUUUUCGUAAACAAGAAACUUAUAAUUUGCUUCAACCACCCGCAAACAACCCACCAAAAAGACCAUCGAUUAAGAAAACAAAAUCUUUCUAACGAUUGCCAUUGUAAUGGUCAUCCUUGUCGUCAUUCAUCAUCAUCAACAUAAUCAUCGUUAAUGUUAACGGCAAUGUGUAAUGUAUGGAUCUCGCAACUUGGAUGUAAAAAAUUUUCCAGAAAAAAAACGAUUCCAUUCGGAUUCCCUUUCCAUCUUGAUAUGCCACUUUGAUUACCCUUAGUAAAAUUUGAACCAUCUUUUUUGUAUCCGUAAUUGUAUAUCGAGGUAAUCAGAAUAUUUCUGGAAUCAGACAAAAAAAAGAAUGAAAAUUAUUAUAAAAAUUGAUACAAAAAAUAGAGAUUUAAAAAACGAGAAAAGAACAUCAAAAGUAAAAAUAUAAAUAAAGCAAAAUUUGACUAAUAAAUUGUAAUAAUGAAUACUUGUGUUGUCAAUGUGAAAUUGAAACAUUGAACUCCUUUUCACAGCAAAUUUGAAACAAUUUGAAAAGGCCUAAUGAAAAAAUAUACACAAAUUAUUGUAAAUAACCUGGGGGGUUGGUAACAAGUAAAGGCCAAUGUUUUAAAUGAUAAAC